rnacentral:rRNA from 2 species
UGGCAGUCGAACGAGUUCUGAUUAUUGAAAGGUGCUUGCAUCUUGAUUUAAUUUUGAACGAGUGGCGGACGGGUGAGUAACACGUGGGUAACCUGCCCUUAAGUGGGGGAUAACAUUUGGAAACAGAUGCUAAUACCGCAUAAAUCCAAGAACCGCAUGGUUCUUGGCUGAAAGAUGGCGUAAGCUAUCGCUUUUGGAUGGACCCGCGGCGUAUUAGCUAGUUGGUGAGGUAACGGCUCACCAAGGCAAUGAUACGUAGCCGAACUGAGAGGUUGAUCGGCCACAUUGGGACUGAGACACGGCCCAAACUCCUACGGGAGGCAGCAGUAGGGAAUCUUCCACAAUGGACGCAAGUCUGAUGGAGCAACGCCGCGUGAGUGAAGAAGGCUUUCGGGUCGUAAAACUCUGUUGUUGGAGAAGAAUGGUCGGCAGAGUAACUGUUGUCGGCGUGACGGUAUCCAACCAGAAAGCCACGGCUAACUACGUGCCAGCACGGGCGGGUAA